GAAGCCACUGGAGAGCAGGCCACACUGUAAUCUCAGCUGAGGGGGCUCGCACCUCUUUUACCCUCAUUGGGUGUGUGUCCAUUUGUGUAUGUGUAAGAGGGUGUGUUAGUGUGAGACUGUGUGUGUGUGUGUGUGUGUGUGUGUGUAGAGGGGACAGAGGAGAGGAACAUGCCCUUCCUGGGCAGAAACCAGCUGCCACGAUUGGGAAGCCUGGGACAUCUUUGGUGUUCAGACGCCAGGUCAUAGCAGGCAAGAUGAGAAGAGCUGCACCCAGGAGAUCUUAGAGGAGAUGUUCUGUGGCUUCAACUCUUCUAACUCCCUAGACAAUGAUCAGGUGCACCAGGCAACAAGGAGCAGUGCUGUUCUCAGUGGGAUGUUUACGGAUGACUCCAUGGAAUACUGGUCUCCGUAAAAGCUCUGAGUUGAGAGAAAUGCAGGUGUUGCUCAGCUACUGGAAUGUGUUGAAGUUGCCAAUACUCUGCCCUGCGUGCCAACCAACCAAUGGUAUUUUGAAGCCUAGAACCUUUUUCUAUGUGCGCCCUGAAGUCCUUUGUCCUGCACAACUUCCCGAGGGGAUGGGUGUCUCUGGGCUGAGCGCCAGACCCUGUUCUUCCCAGUGGCCCAUGGUUUGGAAGCAGACUGCAGUGCCCUUCCUUGUGUCUCCGGUUUGGAAAGGAAUCAUCCACCCUGACCCCGGGUGUUCAGCACAGCCCAAAGGGUUCUGGGCCAGCAGCUCCACAGACCUUUGGAGGCACUCGUGCUCCGGAUCUGGCUCGCAGCAACCCGACUCUCCUGCUCUCCCCAGUAGCCCAGUACUCCUCUUUGCUCAGUACCCCGUACCCCAGUGCAUAAAGAGGAGGCGCUCACACAGUGACAGGUCACAGGGCUACGGGGUUGUCUCCGGCUCCAGUCAGACAGAGGGGCACCUGCCCACGGGGAGCACCUGGACGCAUGUGUCCUCGGAAGGUUCUCAUGCGCCGUCAUUCUUGGAUGUGUUUGGAUUGCAGCACGAUGCAGGAGGACCUGGAGACCCUGCUGGCCUUGCAAAGGGCCAAUAUGGUGGCUCAGUACCAUCAGGCGCACCAAGCAGGGUCUCCGCAGGACCUGUCACUGUGGAAGGUCACCGACCACCAGGGCUUUCUGAAAUGAGUCCCCUGGACACCUCUCAUCCAUCUCAGGGUGGGUGCAGUCCCUUUCAGCAGGGGCUCCUGCAGGGACAAGGAGCUGCCCGGCCCCAGCCCCCGCGAGGCCAAGAAACUCCACCAGGAGACCCAAGCGUGGACAAAUGGAUAAAAAUGCUCAAGCGAUGGGACCACUACCUCCCCAGCGAGAAGCUGAGUCUUCAAGGGGGUCCCGCCCCAGGUGCGGGAACAGGUGUGGCUGCGAUUGCUGAAGGUCAACCAGGUUAAGGCCAGGAAUGCCGGGAAAUACCAGGAAAUGAAGGAGGCGGCCCUGGUCUCCUCCUGGGACAUCAUGCAAAUCAACCUGGACGUCAACCGGACGUUCCGCAGUCACACCAUGUUCUGGGACCGCUACGGGGUCAGGCAGCGAGCCCUGUUCCACGUGCUGGCGGCCUACUCGGUGUACGACACCGUGAGUGUCCCUGCCCCUGCCUCCUGCCCCGCAGGCGGCCUUGUCCUGAGUGCUGGUGACCAGCGGGACUCACGGUUAGGGCCCCAGCUCCACGGCCCCGAGAUGCCGGGGAGGGUCUCUCUCCUCCAGGACGAGCAGGGGGCUGGGUGCAGACCUCCCAGGGGAGGCAGGGCCUGCGUACCCCAGGGCCCCCGUGUGCACCGCGGCCGUCCUAGAACUCGGAUCUGGACCCUGACAGAUGGGACUACUGAUGAGAACCCGGGCGGGGAAGGCUCCCACUCCCCUGAAGGGCACCAGGCCGAGGUGCCCAGGAGGCUGCUCCCUUCCAUGGCGCAUUCCAGAAGGGCCCCCUGAGGACCCCAGCUCACACACUCCAAGGUCCCGUGGGGUGUCCUGGCCCUGCUCCCCUCGUGGGACCUCCCAGGGGCCACAGUCAGGCCCCCGACCUGCCCUCAGUGGGGGGGUCUCCAGACCUGGUGGGUCCCCUGCAGCCUGGCACAGCUCACAGAGGCCCCUCCUCCUGGUCUGAGGACGGGGGCCCUGGUAUGGUGGCUGCAGGGCUCGGUAGUGGGGCCCAGGGUGCUGGCGCCCGAGCUGGUCCGGGUGGCCCUCACCUGCCCCGCCCCGCCCUCUGGGAGCCCCCUCCGGGACCCCCCUCCAGGAACCCGGGUUUGUGAGGGAGCCGGGGGAGCCUGACGCCUGCGGGGAGGGCUCAGAGGGGGCUCGGGGUGCACGCCCUCCGUGGGGCUCUGGCUCUUGCAGGAGGUGGGCUACUGCCAGGG